GGGCGGUUAGCUCAGUUGGUUAGAGCGCUACCUUGACACGGUAGAGGUCACUGGUUCGAAUCCAGUAUCGCCCACCA
rnacentral:tRNA from 2 species